UACGUAGGGGGCAAGCGUUGUCCGGAAUUAUUGGGCGUAAAGAGCUCAUAGGCGGUUUGUCGCGUCGAAUGUGAAAACCCGGGGCUCAACCCUGGACCUGCAGUGGGUACGGGCAGACUAGAGUGCGGUAGGGGAGAUCGGAAUUCCUGGUGUAGCGGUGAAAUGCGCAGAUAUCAGGAGGAACACCGGUGGCGAAGGCGGAUCUCUGGGCCGUAACUGACGCUGAGGAGCGAAAGCAUGGGGAGCGAACAGG
rnacentral:rRNA from 1 species